GUUUAUUAAAUUAAAUAUAUUUAAAUUUAUUUUUUUUGUUAAAAUUUUUUUUAUUAGUAUUUAGAGAAAUUAUAAUUUAGGUUUUGUGACUGUAAAGGAGUUUAAAGGGGUAUACAUUGAGAGUUAAGUUAUGAUAGUACCUUUUGUAUCAGGGUAAGUUAAUUAACUGAAUUAUUUUAUUUUCCCGAAUUUGAAUGAUCAAGUUUUGUAAUUAUAUAUUUAUGUCAAAAAAUUUUGUAAUACUUUAUUAGUAAUUAUAUGUUAGUCGUUUUCUGUUUAUCUGGUUAUUAGGGAAACUAAGUUUAAUUUUACACUUUUAGCUUAUAAAUUUAAAUGAUAAAUUUUUUAAGUGUUAAUUUAUUGGGGAUAAUCUCAGUAGAUUUAAAUUAUUACAUUUAUUUAUUUUUUAUUUUUUUUCUUUUAAAUUUUGUAUUUAGUUUGUAUUAAAUUGGUUAAAUUAAAUAUUAUUUUUUUGUGUAUAUUUUUAUACUUAAUUUAUUAGUUUAAUUUUUAGUCUUAUUUAAUAAUGAUUUAAUUAGUAUAAUAAGUAAAUUAAGGUAAAUGAAUUCGACAAAUGUUAUUUCCAACUGUUUAUCAAAAACAUUUCUUUUUGGUUUUAUAAAAAGUAUCUCCUGCCCUAUGGUUAAACUUCUAAAUGGCUGCAGUAUUUUGACUGUGCAAAGGUAGCAUAGUAAUUAGUUUUUUAAUUGAAAGCUUGUAUGAAUGGAUUUAUGAGAAUUAUAUUUUAUUUCUUUAAAUAUUAAAAUUUAAAUUUAAAGUUAAAAUGCUUUAAUAAUUUAUUGGGACGAUAAGACCCUAUAGAACUUUAUAUGAUUUUAUAUUGUUAAGUUUUAUUUUUUAUGUACUUUUAGAUAUUCACUUUAUAUUUUGCUGGGGUGGUAAUUAAAUAGUUAACUUUAGUUUUUAAACUCAUUUAUUUAUGUGAUUUUAGAUCCCAAUAGACAUGGGGAUAUCAAGAUUAAGUUACCUUAGGGAUAACAGCGUAAUUUUAAUGGGGAGUUCAUAUCUAUAUUAUAUUUUGCGACCUCGAUGUUGAAUUAAGAAAAUUUUAAGGGGUAGUAUUCUUAAUAAUAAGUCUGUUCGACUUUUAAAUUCUUACAUGAUUUGAGUUCAAACCGGCGUGAGCCAGGUUGGUUUCUAUCUGAUAAUAUUUAUUUGUGUUUAGUACGAAAGGACCAACAUAAAUUACUAUAAGGGUAAAUAUUUUUUGAUAAU
rnacentral:rRNA from 1 species